ACAUACGACCAUAGCUCGUAGACAACUGAGGGUCCCGUCCUCCCCUAUACAUAAGCUACGAAGCGCCAGACUAGUAGUUGGGUCGGUGACGACCAGAAUCCCUGGUGUUGUAUGUC
rnacentral:rRNA from 1 species